rnacentral:rRNA from 1 species
AACGAACGCUGGCGGCAUGCCUAACACAUGCAAGUCGAACGAGAUCUUCGGGUCUAGUGGCGCACGGGUGCGUAACGCGUGGGAAUCUGCCCCUUGGAUCGGAAGAACAGUUGGAAACGACUGCUAAUACCGGAUGAUGACGAAAGUCCAAAGAUUUAUCGCCAGAGGAUGAGCCCGCGUAGGAUUUGCUAGUUGGUGUGGUAAAGGCGCACCAAGGCGACGAUCCUUAGCUGGUCUGAGAGGCUGAUCAGCACCACUGGGACUGAGACACGGCCCGGACUCGUACGGGAGGCAGCAGUGGGGAAUAUUGGACAAUGGGAGAAAGCCUGAUCCAGCAAUGCCGCGUGAGUGAUGAAGGCCUUAGGGUUGUAAAGCUCUUUUACCCGGGAUGAUAAUGACAGUACCGGGAGAAUAAGCUCCGGCUAACUCCGUGCCAGCCGCCGCCGUAA